AUUGAACGCUGGCGGCAGGCCUAACACAUGCAAGUCGAGCGGAAGAAGGGUGCUUGCUCCUGGAUUCAGCGGCGGACGGGUGAGUAAUGCACAGGAAUCUGCCUGGUAGUGGGGGAUAACGUCCGGAAACGGGCGCUAAUACCGCAUACGUCCUGAGGGAGAAAGUGGGGGAUCUUCGGACCUCACGCUCUCAGAUGAGCCUAGGUCGGAUGAGCUAGUUGGUGGGGUAAAGGCCUACCAAGGCGACGAUCCGUAACUGGGCUGAGAGGAUGAUCAGUCACACUGGAACUGAGACACGGUCCAGACUCCUACGGGAGGCAGCAGUGGGGAAUAUUGGGCAAUGGGCGAAAGCCUGAUCCAGCCAUGCCGCGUGUGUGAAGAAGGUCUUCGGAUUGUAAAGCACUUUAAGUUGGGAGGAAGGGCAGUAAGUUAAUACCUUGCUGUUUUGACGGUACCGACAGAAUAAGCACCGGCUAACUUCGUG
rnacentral:rRNA from 1 species